ACAGAGAGCAGAUUCCUCGCAAAGCACGGGCAGGACUGCUUAGCGCUGGACACCUGUGAUGGAGGACAUCUGGAGGCUGGUGGCUGGUUGCCAUAGGCGGGUCAUGGGCGGCAGCCAGGCCUUACAAGGCUGUGCACCACUCAGAUAAAGUCUGGUGGCGGAGAUUGGAAUCUCCUACUGUGAGAGCGGUUCUCCUCCAGGUGCUGAUCAAAAAGUGGAAGAUUUUUCUUCAUAAUGAACACAGACAAACAUCCUGAAUUUGCCUCCCCAGAUGGAGACAGGAUGGACGUUUGCAGUGAUGCUGCAGAUGUGAAGACACAGGAGGAGGAAGGAGAGCGGGAGGACAGCUCUUACAGUGAAAAUGGAAUGUUUGUGGAAGGUGGGAUGGAUCUGUGUAGGUUUUCACACACACACACACACAUACAUACAUACACAUGUGAGUGGAAUUUUUGUCUUCUUUUUUUUCCCUAGCCAUUGUGACGAAACCAAAAUUUACUUUAGGUAUUAGUUAAGGAGCUAAAAUUAAUGUCUUACUUUUAGUGGUCACUUUGCAUUUCUGCUUAUCUGAAGGGUUUCAAAGGUGUCAUGAAUCAAAGUGUGGAGGAGGAGGGUUUUAUUCUUUGACUUAAACAGGAAGAUAGAUUGAUAGAUACGAAUUUUUAGCUCACUUCUGAUAAAACUUAUAUCUUGAUUAUAUUAUAUCAAUCUAACAUAUAAUGUUCUAUAUAAGUUCUUCAGAGACUCUUUGCAGCGGAGCCCCUUAUCA